rnacentral:rRNA from 1 species
UAGUGGUUGGAGUCGAGGUGAAAUCUCCUAGCUAUUGAAAAAAAGCAGUUGAUACUGUCUGGCUUGAAUAUUGUAGAGGUGUGUGGAAUUUCUCGUGUAGCGGUGAAAUGCUUAGAUAUGACGAAGAACACCCAUGGCGAAGGCGGCUCACUGGACUAUUAUUGACUCUGAGGCACGAAAGCGUGGGGAGCAAACAGGAUUAGAUACCCUGGUAGUCCACGCCCUAAACUAUGGAUACUCGAUGUCAGCGAUACACUGUUUGUGUCUGAGCAAAAGCAUUAAUUAUCCCACCUGGGAGGUACGACCGCCCGGUUGAAACUCAUAGGAAUUGAUGGCGGG